GGGUAGGUGCCCGAGUGGUUAAAGGGGAUGGACUGUAAAUCCAUUGGCUUCGGCCUACGGUGGUUCGAAACCACCCCUGCCCA
rnacentral:tRNA from 1 species